AAUUUAUUAAUUCAUAACUUGAAUGAGUCACAGAAAAGAGAUGCUAGCUAAAUUGAUAAAUAGUAAGAUGAGUAGGCUUGGCCUAUUAAAGUUUCUUAAAUUCGUGAAUUGUUGUAAAUAAUUAUUUCAUUAAAAAGCAAUGAUGCACAAGCAGGCAAGUUAAGCUUUACACCACUUUCCAUCCAUUCCUGUCUCUUAAGUCACGAUGCUUCUCAUGGACACUCAGGAUUAGAAUCACAUAGAAUUUGUUCUACAAGCCAAAGCCACAAUAAAACCACUUACCAAUAAAUAUAAGUACAGGACAAAUGCAGGAACAGUAAUCUAACAGAAGAUGCAUCAUCUGUUCUUUGGAUGAUACCAUCUAGGAUGGAAGAAAUGGGACAUGACAAGGAGAUCCCCAAAGCCAAUGAACAGAAAGGAUGCUGGUAAUGAUGGACCACAAACUCCAAAA
rnacentral:lncRNA from 1 species